AAAUCCCUGCUUUGUUUGUGAUAAAGGUUACAAUGUAAAACCAACACAUUUACGAAGGGGUCUUGUCUCCAAAAGCGGCGCACAUGCCUCAUGCUUAUGCAUCCAGUGGACUUGUAAUGUUUUUGGGCGUUUCCCCACCUGGAUUCCAGGUUUUUACUAAACCUUUUCAUCACGGCACGGUGGGGCUUUU
rnacentral:other from 1 species